CGGGGAGUAGCGCAGCCUGGUAGCGCAUCUCGUUUGGGACGAGAGGGUCGCAGGUUCGAAUCCUGUCUCCCCGACCA
rnacentral:tRNA from 1 species